GCGCUCGUAGCUCAGCUGGAUAGAGCACCACCCUCCGAAGGUGGGGGUCACAGGUUCGACUCCUGUCGGGCGCGCCA
rnacentral:tRNA from 1 species